GACGAACGCUGGCGGCGUGCUUAACACAUGCAAGUCGAACGACGACCCCGUAGCUUGUUCUGGGGGCUUAGUGGCGAACGGGUGAGGAACACGUGAGUAACCUGCCCUGCACUCUGGGAUAAGCGAAGGAAACGACGCCUAAUACCGGAUAGGAUCUUGCAUCCCAUGAUCUGGGGGGGAACGUCUGUUCUUGCUGGGAUGGACGCGCGGCCUAUCAGUUUGCUGGUGAGGGGAUGGCUCACCAAGGGGUCGACCGGUAGCCGGCCCGCACGGGUGACCGGCCACACUCGGACUGAGACAGGGAGCAGGCACCUGCGGAAGGCAGCCGUGGGGAGUAUUGCACAACCGGCGAUACCGUGAUGGAGAAACGCCGCGUGCGGGAGGACAGCCCUCGGGUUGUAAACGGAUUGUAGUAGGGUAGAAGGGCUUCGGCUUGACGGUACCUGCAGAAUAAGAACCGGCUAACUACGUG
rnacentral:rRNA from 1 species